CCGGAUGGCCGGACGGUUGCGGCGCGUUUUGAACGUGCCGAGGAAAGUCCGGGCUCCACGGAAAUACGGCGCCGGUUAACGACCGGGGGCAGCGGAUUUAUCCGCUGUUACGGCUAGUGCAACAGAAAGAUACCGCCUGACUUCGGUCGGGUAAGGGUGAAAUGGUGCGGUAAGAGCGCACCGCGUCUCCGGUAACGGCAGACGGCAUGGUAAACCCCGCCGGGAGCAAGAUCAAAUAGGGGCGGCAUAUGGCGCAUUUCCGCGCCCGUCGCCCGGGUAGAUUGCUAGAGGCGCAUGGCAACAUGCGUCCCAGAUGAAUAACCGUCCUCGACAGAACCCGGCUUACAGGCCGUCCGGCUUU
rnacentral:RNase_P_RNA from 1 species